rnacentral:rRNA from 1 species
UGGGGAAUAUUGGACAAUGGGCGCAAGCCUGAUCCAGCCAUGCCGCGUGAGUGAUGAAGGCCCUAGGGUUGUAAAGCUCUUUCACCGGUGAAGAUAAUGACGGUAACCGGAGAAGAAGCCCCGGCUAACUUCGUGCCAGCAGCCGCGGUAAUACGAAGGGGGCUAGCGUUGUUCGGAUUUACUGGGCGUAAAGCGCACGUAGGCGGACUAUUAAGUCAGGGGUGAAAUCCCGGGGCUCAACCCCGGAACUGCCUUUGAUACUGGUAGUCUUGAGUUCGAGAGAGGUGAGUGGAAUUCCGAGUGUAGAGGUGAAAUUCGUAGAUAUUCGGAGGAACACCAGUGGCGAAGGCGGCUCACUUGCUCGAUACUGACGCUGAGGUGCGAAAGCGUGGGGAGCAAACAGG